AUGGACAUCCUGGAGCAGCCCCUGGAGGCCGUCGCCUUCCGCAUCCACUCCCUCCCCGAGGUGGCCGCGGCGGGCGCGGCGGCGUGGACCUGCCUCGCCGCCGUCCUCGCCGCGGCCGCCGCUGCCGGCGUCUGGCGCCUGCGCUCCUCCACGCCGUCGUCCACUGUUAUCGCCGAAGGAUCCUCGAAGCCUUUGGAGCUGGAUACGUCCCCGUUGUUGGUACCAGCGGAGACGGAGAGAUCGCUGGGGAGCUGGAGAUCGUCUGAGCCGACGAUGUCGUCGUCGCUGCCGGCGCUGUCGCCCAGGGAGAGGUACACGGCGUACUACCACGACAGCGGCUGCGUCGGAUGCUGCGACGUGGAGAGCGACGAGGAGGAGGAGGAUCGGGAUCCCGAAGAUGACUACGGCGUGUACGGGCCGGCGGAGACGGAUCCUUCCGAAUGGGAGGUGGUGAGGUCACUGCCUCUCGCGGCGACAACUGCUACGGGAACGUGGCGGUACAAGAGCCCGAGGGCGCUCAGCGGCAGCGUGGUGCGGCUGUGGGAUGAAGGCGCCGACGGGAGCUUCAUGGCCGCCGCGGCGAGCCGGAGACGGAGGGGCAGAGCCGGCGCCGUGUCGAGCUUCUGA
rnacentral:rRNA from 1 species